CAAAACAAGCCUUUUGCCAAUUGGACGAGCCAGCAUCCAUUAUCUUACGUUCCUACAGAAAACAAGCUAGCCAAAUGGAUUAAAAGAUAAUUUUAUAUUCCAUCAAUUCAUCCAUUGAGUUGCUGACUCUUGCAUCAGACAAAUAUUUUUACUACGGCGAUACUAUUACCUCUAUGUGAAGAAGAUAUAAAUCUGAAUCGAGAACCAGAUUUUGUCUCACAUGAAACACCCAUCUUGGAAUGAUUUUGUCAAUCCAAACUCCAAAAUUUCUUGGGAAUAUAAAUAUCAAUCUGCUUCUACCAGGACUAACUGGAACACAGUAAAAAACAAGAAGCCCUCUUUGUUGUGGCACAUUUGAAUUUGAUGAUGGCUGCUGAACCAACCAACAGGAUUGGAAGUAAAGACACAGACAAAUAAAUCUGAAGUUGAAUAUGAUAAAAUCUAAAAUGAGAAAAAAAUGGAGUUGAAAGAAUGUCUUACCAUAUUGUUUCCAGCUGAUGACACUGAUCCAUUACCUUGAUCUGAUACAUUACCUGGAUUCACGGAAGUGAGACUAACAGCAGAAUAAUAUGUACAAGGUGCCAUAAAUCUGCUAUUCCCACCAUAUCGAGUAGCUUGGAAACCAUUUUUGUCCAACUUUUCAAUGCUGAUAUCAAUUGGUGCUCCUCCUUCUCUAUCAAGCUUAACUGUGAAAGAACAUAGUGUCAAUUAUAUAAAAAAAAAUGUUGCAUAUAACUAUAAACCAAAAUGGAAUACAAUGCCAAACAAAAGGUAGAAUUAAUUUAGAAGUUCUUAUCUGUUCUUGGAUGGUGGAUUUGGCAGCAGUUUAAAAUGUGCAUAAGGGACAUGAGAAGGGUCCAUUAGAUUUUCAAUCAAGAUUUCAUACCUGAAAAUGACCAUUUAGUUUACAUAUGAAUGAAUUAGGUGCAGAUUGAUAGAAAUAGAGAAGAGAUUUCCAUGUGUCCUUGAAGUAGUCAGAUUUUGUAGUACAUUUGUGGAAAUACUAAGCAAAAGAUAACAGAAGCAAUUAAUUUGCCACUUGCAGAAGACAACUUCUAUCCUCUUCUUUCCGCAGAUAAUAGCCAUGGCAACUAUAAAACUAAUACAAUUAAACAACUGUCUUGGAUCUUUAAAUUAUAUGUGCCUAGGAUUACUUAUGUCGUGCAGGCAAUUUGAGUAGUAUUUGCAUACAGGAACAUAGAAAUCAGCCCUAAUCUCUGUUAUAAAAGAAUGAUAAUUUGAUUAGGAAAGAAUCAGGAGUGACAUAUCAUAUCUUGCAUACCCAAAAGGAAAGUCUCUAUUUGCCAUUGGUUUGACGUAUGAUGGAUCAUCCAGUUCUGGAAUAUAUGGGGGUUUUUUCUUCGAAAGGAUAUCUUUGUAUUCAGGAUUGCUGUUUGGCCAAAACCACAAUAUGCCAUUCUGCACGGUACAUGGAUAAGCAGCAACACAUGCUUUCUUGAAUGUAUGGACCGGAGGACCAUCUGGGGGUGCCUGAGGAAUAAAUUUGCAGUCCCCAGAGCCAUUGAAACACCAACCAUGGUACACACAUUGCAAUCUCCCCCACUGAUCAAUCCUUCCUUCAGAUAAUGGUGCCAAUCUAUGAGGACAAGUAUCA
rnacentral:misc_RNA from 1 species